rnacentral:rRNA from 1 species
UACGUAGGUGGCGAGCGUUGUCCGGAUUUUAUUUGGGCGAAAGCGCGCGCAGGCGGUCUGCCAAGUUUCGGAGUGACAGUUCCGGCUUAACUGGGAAAGGUCUUCGAAAACUGGUGGACUUGAGAACUUUGAGGGGAGACGGAAUUCCGGGUGGAGCGGUGAAAUGCGUAGAGAUCCGGAGGAACACCGAAGGCGAAGGCAGUCUCCUGGCAAGUUUCUGAC